UAUAUAUAUAUAUAUAUAUAUAUAGUAUGAUCUAACAGCCGAACUCAUAUAACGGUAGAAAUGAUCAAUGCGGUGGAUCUAGCAGCCGAAAAUUUAUGGGUACAAAAAAACUUAUACUCAUAAGAAUAUAGUAGUCAAACUCAUAUAUACGCUAUGGCUACUAUAUUCUUGUAAGUAUAUAUAGGCUAUUUUGUACUAAUAAGUUUUUAGCUGUUGGAUAAAAAAAUAUACGGUUAGGAUGAUAGUGGUUUCCAAUUAAAAUGAUAGUGGUCCCCUAAGGAUGAGUGGGUGAUUGGUUGAAUAGUAUGAUCUAACGGGUAAAAAUGAACAAUAUGGUAGAUCUAAUAGUCGAAAACUUAUAAGUACAAAGGAACUUAUAUUUAUAAGAGUAUAGUAACUGAACUCUCUCUCUCUCUCUCUCUCUCUCUCUCUAUAUAUAUAUAUGUAUGUUUUAAAAAACACAGAGGUUUUUGUAAUUUUAAAUUAUUUUCGAUGAUGGAAUAUUUUAUUCGAUGAUUGAUUUCGUUAGAUAUGAUACACGCUAUUAACACUAUUUAAAAGAUAUCAUUUAUCAAGUAAUUUAAAAGUCUAAAAAAAGGUUAUUUUAAUGACCGAUAUGAUAUGUUUGUAAGUUCAACGAUAUAAAAUAAUCCAAACUAGUUAAAACUUUAAAUAAAAAUUUUACUUACUAUCAAAAGCAAGAUCAAUUCAUCCUAUUUUAAAUUUAAGUAUUUUAUUACUAUUUUUCUGAAAUUCUUAUUUUCAGCCAUUCAUUUUGAGGCUACUCGUUUACAAAUACAGUAAAAAAAAAUAUAUUAUAAGAUUUGAUUUCUAAAUAGUUCUAACACAAUAGAUCAUGUCUAAUAGUAUCGAUUGCUCAAUCAGAUGUCUUAUAAUUGAAACGAAUUUGAAGGCACGAAAGCCUUCAUACUUUGAAAGUAUAGUGUGUAUU
rnacentral:lncRNA from 1 species